UACGAAGGGGACUAGCGUUGUUCGGAAUCACUGGGCGUAAAGCGCACGUAGGCGGAUCUUUAAGUCAGGGGUGAAAUCCCGGGGCUCAACCUCGGAACUGCCUUUGAUACUGGGGAUCUCGAGUCCGGGAGAGGUGAGUGGAAUUGCGAGUGUAGAGGUGAAAUUCGUAGAUAUUCGCAAGAACACCAGUGGCGAAGGCGGCUCACUGGCCCGGUACUGACGCUGAGACACGAAAGCGUGGGGAGCAAACAGG
rnacentral:rRNA from 1 species